GUUGCUAAAAGUGGGAAAUUCAGUAAAAAAUUUGAAGGCUUUGCUGGAACAAGUGAUCCUUUAGGCAAGAAACUAAACAACACUAAAACUCGAGAGGAAGUAGGAUGGGAGCCAAAAUACCCUAGCUUUGCUCAUUUUCUUGGUGUAUCUAACUAACUGCUAUCUGUCUUUUGCACUUGGAUGGAAUAUAAUUGAUAGGAAAGGACAGAGUCAACUGGCUCAAAGAAUGCUCAGAGAUGAGCUACUGACCUCUUUUUAAAUUUGUUCAGCUCUUUCCUGAGGUACUUCUUGCAGGUUGCCUAUGAAAUAUCACACUUUCGAGCACAUUUAGAUGGUCAGAACCAUUUAUACUCGCAUUCGAUUUUAUGAGAUUUAUGUAUAUGUAUAUCAUAUCGGUGUAUAAUGCGAGCUUUUGUAUUUUCUAGCAAUACUGCAAGUUGUAAGAACAUUUAUUCAUCUUGAAUAUGCUUGACGCAAAAUCCAAGAUUAUGC
rnacentral:misc_RNA from 1 species